GAACGCUGGCGGCGUGCCUAAUACAUGCAAGUCGAGCGGACCGAYGGGAGCUUGCUCCCUUAGGUCAGCGGCGGACGGGUGAGUAACACGUGGGUAACCUGCCUGUAAGACUGGGAUAACUCCGGGAAACCGGGGCUAAUACCGGAUGCUUGAUUGAACCGCAUGGUUCAAUCAUAAAAGGUGGCUUUYAGCUACCACUUACAGAUGGACCCGCGGCGCAUUAGCUAGUUGGUGAGGUAACGGCUCACCAAGGCGACGAUGCGUAGCCGACCUGAGAGGGUGAUCGGCCACACUGGGACUGAGACACGGCCCAGACUCCUACGGGAGGCAGCAGUAGGGAAUCUUCCGCAAUGGACGAAAGUCUGACGGAGCAACGCCGCGUGAGUGAUGAAGGUUUUCGGAUCGUAAAACUCUGUUGUUAGGGAAGAACAAGUACCGUUCGAAUAGGGCGG
rnacentral:rRNA from 1 species